UACAGAGGGGGCAAGCGUUGUUCGGAAUUACUGGGCGUAAAGGGCGCGUAGGCGGCCUGCUAAGUCGAACGUGAAAUCCCUGGGCUCAACCCAGGAACUGCGUCCGAUACUGGUUGGCUUGAAUCCGGGAGAGGGAUGUGGAAUUCCAGGUGUAGCGGUGAAAUGCGUAGAUAUCAGGAGGAACACCUGUGGCGAAAGCGGCUCACUGGACCAUAACUGACGCUGAUGCACGAAAGCUAGGGGAGCAAACAGG
rnacentral:rRNA from 1 species